CUCAGUGAGCAGUCAGAGGGUGUGCGGCGAUAGGAGCGUGGCACAGUAGUUUGCCUUGGUAGGGCAGGCAGGGAAUGUCUGCCGCUUGGGAGAUAGCUUAUCUGCUGUCUUCCAGGUAACAAAUCUAGCCAUGAUCUCCACUAGGCAGACAGCUCUUGCCAAAAAAAGCAUGAGGCUUCUCAGACUGAGUGCCUGCCCAGAAACGCAGCUCUUCAGGUCUCUGCUGCAUCUGGCUCAGUCUCCAGAAAGAUCUGCUGCUCCAGAAAGUGGUUGGAGUACGUACUACAACAUCCUCUGUUCCUGAAUUUCCUCAGGCAUAAAUAUCAGGGAACAUGCCUGAAUUCUGAACCUGAGAGCAGUGAGGAAUGGAUUUUGGUCAGCUCUGAUUCCAGACUUUCUCUUUCCUGUACAUCUCUUUGCAGUACAAGAACAACCCUUGGCUUUGCUAAGAAUAUGAAGUAAAUGUUAUGUUACAUGUAGGAGAAUUGAUAGCAAGUGCCUUUAUGAGUUAUAACCUUUCUACUUCUAGCCGUGAGAAUUAUUUUACAUGAUUGAUUGGUAUAAUUAGGCUGUCUAGUGGAGCAGUGGCAAUUCCUUGUGCUGCCAAGCAGGAGGGACCUCUGUGCUGAACUCUCACAGCCUGGAAUGGCCAACAAUGGGCCUGCCAUGGAGAAGAUGGGUCUGACCUUUGGGGAAGGUGGUGGACAUGUCACUCAAAGAGCAGAGCAGCUGACUGUGAGCAGAAAGCAGCUGUCCAUGUGCCUCUAAUAGCUGGACACAAAACUUAUAUUUCAUCAGGCUCAAUGUAAAGGAAACAGUAGUGAGACAAGAAGCUUUGUGAAUGUGUAGACUGCAGCAGAAUGGAUUGGACUUCAGAGUUCAAAACU